AAAACGAUUCGUUCCCCAUCCUGAGCGGAAUAGCACCACACAAGGUUGACUUGCUGCCGCCGCCUCUCGAUCUCUCCUCGCUGCCGCCGCCCCCCUCCGAUGUCCCGUGGUCUGGAGCCGCCCCGAGGUCCUCUCCUCUCCACCCAGCCGCCCACGCCUGCGUCUCCGCCGUCUUUCUGGGCGACACACAGACCCUCUCCUACCUCUGCGACGCGGCCUGCCACCGGCGGCGACGCCCGGACACCGCAUCCCUGAGCUUCCGCUGCCCCCUGCUCCCAACGCCGUGGCCCUCGACGCCGCCCCCGACCUUCUCUAAUCCCGCCACUCCCUGCUGUCCCAAGGUUUGGCCGCCCCUUCUGCCUCCGGUCCGAGGUCUGGCCGCCCCUUCAGCCUCCGGUAUGAGGUCCGGCCAUCCCCAUCCUGCUUCUCCCUGCUCCCCUUCUGCCUCCGGUCCAAGGCACUCUCUGUACCCUCCCUCUUUCUUCUAUGUCCUUCUCCUUCGUUAGUUACUCUGAAAUUCCUUUGCAGUUUCAGUGGGAGAGAGGUGUUGGGAAACACUAGAGAUCUUCAGUUCUUUGUACAGGCAAGAGUAACAAAUCUGACCAUGUUCAAGUUCAGGAUGACGUUAUCUUCAAUGCUUGGCGGUGGGAGUUAUUCAGAAAAUUGAGUUUUCUGUCCGCAAGGAGAAUGCAGUUGGCAGUCAGCUAUGGCAUGAGUUUUUUCUCUUCAGAACUAAGCGAUGGCCUGGGUUUUUUCUCUUCAGAACUUUGUGCUAUUGGAAGAUAAGAUAUACUCCGUACAAGUUUAGUUCCACGUGAUUGUACGAUCUACUACAAUAAGUACUUAAACCCGACCUUAAAUGACUUAAACUACUUAUUUCCAGUUUAAACUGUCUAAAUUGGCUAAUGAGCUUAUAUUUUGCAACCGAACGAAGCGUGGACAAUAUAUUAUUAGUAUACUAUAGUAUAAUGUCUUCUAAAAAUUAUUAUAAUGCGUACAUAUUGUCUGAUGAAGUAAAAAAAUUAUCAUCUGCAGCAACAAAAAAACUAAUUUACUUGUAAAACAGUACAGUUAGCACUAAUACCAAAUCUACAGAACUACAAGGUCAUUCAGGUCUUCAGCACAUUUCAGUUGCAGCUGCAGCUGGUAGCCACAACUGAUUCUGAAAUCUGCAACUGUGGAGCUUCAGCCCAAACAAACACAACCGAAAUACAUGUGUGUUGUCGCGGAAUUCAAAAUAUGUAUUACAUGCAUGAGUUUUUAAAAUAUUUAUGUGUUUAGGAUUUUUUUUAAAAUUUUAUGCUAAAAUAAAUUCUCUUAAAAUAUUUACUUGAGAAAACAGUUAUCUUAGAAGUACAUGUUACAAUAGUCAACUACAAUAAAAAAAUAGUGAUACAUAUAUGUAUCACAUUAAGUGGGUGGGAAUAAAAUAAUUGCCUAAAAGGACAGUAGAACUUACUGUGGGUAAGUGUAAAAUUUGCCCACAAAAAGAGUGUUGAACUGAUUCUAAAAAAAAGAAAACGAGUGUUGAACUACACCUUAUCCUCUCUUUUUUCACAGUAGAUGUUAGCAACAGAAGAAUGUUGAGCCCCUCGUUUCUUUCUGGAAUAAAAUAAUUGUGAUCUUGACACACGGGCAGAGAGCGACCGGUCAUCAUUCGCAGCGCCACGCAGUAGAUCCUCCGCCACACGUUGGGAUUGCAGGAGGAAUUUAAUACGAAGAAGGAAGCAUCACCUAUCUUCCCAAAGGCCAAAGCUAACAUACAUCACCACCACACAAAACACACAACAGACUCGAAGAAAACAAAUCCUCGCAUCCGGAAGGCCUCAACGGCCAGAACAAAAUCACGCCAAGAAAUCAGGAGCACGGUGCAGCCAUAGCCACAGCCAGACUUCAGCCAUGAGCGGAGCGGAGCACAAGGAGAUCGUCAAGAGGAGGAGGGACGACAAGGAGGAGGAGGCGGCGGCGGCGCCUGCGGGGGCGGUGGAGGCGCUGGCGGACGACGUGCUGCUGCAGAUCCUGGGCCGGCUGGAGGCUGACCCGCGGGACUGGGCCCGGGCGUCCUGCGCGUCCCCGCGCCUCGCCGCGCUCCUCCGGGCCGCGUGCUUCCCGCCGCGCCUGUCUCGGGCGCUCCCCGCUGAGCUCCUGCCGGCACCGGCCGCCGACGGGGCGCCCGCUGCAUGGGCCGCGCUCCAUAAGAUGUCCGUCUGCUGCCCCGGCCUCCUCCGCGCCGGGAUCCUCCUCGAGCCCUCGGACGACUUCGGCCUCGAGCUCGACAUCGGGCCCGAUCUCUCCGUCCCCUCCGCCUCCCUCGACGCCACACCCAUCUCCUCGGCUAAGCCGCCGCCGCCCAAGAGCGCGCCGGCCGAGUCGUCGUCGUCCCAUGGCAAGUCGAGAACCAGCGCGGAGCUAAUGACGCCUAGCGAUCCACCGGCCGCAUGGUCGCUCUACGACGACCUCUACCUGGACGCCGCCUACGACUGCUCCUCUUCCUCCGAGGCGGCGGCGCAGAUCCCUGCCGCCGCAGAGGAGCCGACGGAGCCAGCCGCAGCCAAUGCCGUCCGGGCGCGCUGCCAGGGCGUGGCGUCGGGGAGCCGCGGUCGGCGGGCGCGCCGGUGGCUGGGCCCGGUGGGGUCGCACCUGGCGUCGGGCUCCUGGACGCUGAGCCGGGAGCAGGGCAACAAGCUCCUGGCCAGCCGCUUCCGGGGCGACCGGCUCUACAUCUGCGACUGGCCAGGGUGCGUGCACGCGGAGGAGCGGCGCAAGUACAUGGUGUUCCGCGGCGUGUUCCAGGACUUCGCCCGCUCCCAGGUGCGGCGCGCGCUCCGGGACACGCGCCGCCCCACCGUCGCCGUGGCCUGCGCCUUCUGCGCCUGCACGGAGGCGUGGGACCUCUACUCCGCCUUCUGCCUCCGGAGCUUCUACGGGUACCACGACGACGGGGAGCCCGUGGUGCGCGCCUACGUCUGCGAGAACGGCCACGUCGCCGGCGCCUGGACCGAGCGGCCCCUCUACUCCUGACUCAUCUGACUACUCUUCUCUCCCCCUCCUGCAGUCAGGCAUCAUAUUCAUACUGGCACGCUGCCAUUGCUAAAUGACAAGUACGUAUAAUAUUUUAUCCGUUAUUUUAUUGUGGUAAUCACGCGUACAGAUAGCAUGAAUUCUGUAUCUCUCUGCGGCUCUGAGAUUCCGUAUGAGUAAUGUACUGCUGUAUCUUUUUCUGUUUGUUCAUAUGAAUAUGAUGCUUAGCACAAUGCUUUAUGAUGUGUGGCAUCAUCCAGUAUUCAGAGUUAGCUCCAUCGAUCUGAUGCUUAACAUAAGAAAAUCUAGUGAGUGUUUUGUGAUGUUUACGUGUGGCACUACAGUAUGAUAAUCCGUGUGCUGGUUCUGCUGAGUUCAGGUGAGCUCAUUUGUGGGGGAAAUUCAGAAUAGCAUCGGAUCUUGUCCGACACAUAGUAUUCAUGGCUAAAACAAAAUGCAUUGCAUUAUUGUGGGCUAAAACAUUUUUUCUGCUCUUAAUUAAUGAUCUGAAUUCAAAUAAUUGAACAUAGCUACACCUUUUGAUCAAAGAAAUGACCCAGAUUAGAAGCACGAAUCAUUAGCAAAACUACAACAAAAUCCGUGAACCAAACUUAUCAUAGAAAAAUAUGGAAUUUAUUUCAGUUCCAAACAUUCACACAUUAUGAACAAUACCAUAUUACGGAUACAAAUCCAUGAACAUAUUGUUGAAACAAUAGAGAAAUGAUCUGUCCGUUUGAACAUUUCAAAAUCAUGAGAAUUGGAUCAUGGUCUGUGUUCUUUUUUAUUUUAUUUUAUUGCAUGGAGACAUGAUCUGGGUUCAAGGUGGAAAACAUGAACAAUGAAAAUUACCUGCCAUGAAUCAAGGAUGAAUGGAUUCGCGAUGAAUGCCACCAAACCAAGCCAUGCAUCAAUCCAGUGGGUUCAAGAGAUAAAUCAUAAAUGCAUUGUGAUCAAUAAGAAGCAUGGAGAGUGAACAUUGAAUGAUCAAUAUUGAGUUCAUCGAGUGAGGCAACAAGUAUGGUCAAUGUGGAAGCUGAAGUAAAAAACAAUGAUGAUAUUCAUGGUGGAACUCAGGAUGGUCAUAUAGGUUAUCUUAUGAGUUGAGCCAUGGGUGAAUUGGUGAUCAAGUCUUGCCAAGUGAAACAUUAGGCCACUCCCAAAUUCCCAAUGCAUCGUCCCUUAGGUGCUGGUUCUUAACCCAUAAUAAAUGCUAAAAAACCAUAUCCCAAUGCAUUAUCUCUUAAGGUGGUAUCCAAAGUAGCAGUUAUUUAAUAGCUUUGUGAUAAAGAGUUAAUUACCUUGUGUUGGUCUGCGUGAAGAGACGGUCACUAGAAUUUAAGACAGUUUCAUCAUUAAAAGGGUGUCAUGUCGGCAAAUUGCCUAAAAUAGCGUGCUAAGAGAUUAGCAUUGGGAGUGGCCUUAUGUGGUUUCGAGAUAUCGAGAUGGAGCAAUAAGGAUAUAUGUGUUGCCCAAGAUGUAGUCCAAUGGUUCAAUUGGAAAGGGUCAACACGAGUGUAAAUAAUAUAUUGAGUGAUCCAGUGGUGUGGCAAACAAUUGCUCAGUGCAUAUUUGGAGUGACGCACGGGUGAAUGAAAAAAACAUACAAAUUUGCACAAUUUUGUAUGUAAAGUUCGGACCAGAUGCAUAAUGCAUAAUCACAUAAUUUCAACAAAGUAUUUAUUCUCACAAAUACAAGGCAUUCAUAAAUAGUUCCAACUUUCAAACUAAUCAUAAUGUGUACAAUGCAUUAUCACAAACAAAUCAUAUUACUACGUUAUAUUGCAGCAAGGUAUAUGAUGUAAGAUUCAGACAUAGUUCCAACUUUUAACUCAUAUAUUGUGCCCAAACCAACUUCAUAAUCAAGAAGAUGGUGUUUUAAUAAAAAAAAAUAGUUCAAUAUAAAUCUGGCCCUUCAUAGUUUAACAGGGGAUAUGGGACUCCUGAUUUUAGCUCACAAAAAAAAAUCAAAUGUUUUUCACUUUCACUUCUGCAUUUUGUGAAGUGCACUCCACUAGCCUUCUCGAAUCCACACUUCCUUGCAAAAUCGAAUGCUUCAAAAGCUUGAAUUAUGAUUUUGUUCCGGCCUUUGUGCAUGGCUCUACUAACUUGUUCCCGAAAAUCCACCUAGGCAACUCAUGAGGAGCUUUGUUUUGAGGCAGCAACCACCAUCCCCCUGAACUCCUCCACACUCAGGGCGGAGCCCAGUGGGCCGACCCCGAUACAUAGGAAUACGGUUCUGAUUUAUUUUUUCUAACAACACUUAUCAUCCAAAAGGGCAUGGGCAUCAGGUUGGCCCUGGUGUGGUGCAUCAGGGGUGGUCCAAUUUCCCGCCGGCCUGCAAUUGCACGAGCACGUGGCUCGACUGAUCGAUCGGCCCAUCGAUCGAUCCACACCGGAAGAAAAGGAAUCCGCACUUGCGGAAUCGCUCUGUGACUUGCGAAUUUUCUCUGUUAAAAAUUGAAACCGUUUUUUUUGCUGGUAACAGCAGGACGUCUACACCUGUUCGCCUUUUCCCAAGACGGCCACGCGAUGCCGGCCGAACGCAGAACUACACAGUAUACUUUGCAACAAUUAUGGCUAUAGAUGAAAUAUAGUCUAAGAAUAUAGAGUUUGGCAAAAUGCGGGACAUUAGCUAGGAUUCAUGUAUCGAUCAUUACGUUUUUGUAUUUAUACAUUGCUAAAAGUGGUGCAUCGGGGUGACUUGAGCUCCAACUCCGCAUAUUGAACAACUAUAUAAAACUAUAAGUUGAAAAUACAUCUCUUUUUUUCCACAUCUCCUCUGAUAUCUCCCCGUUUCGAAAUGGUCCUGCAAGAAAUUAUUUUUCUCUAUUCUUUAAUUUGCACUUGGGUCCGAGCCGGUAGGCUCGUACGUCGUCCUCUCCGCACGCGCUCGCUCGAUCGAAAAACCAAAAAUCUUUCCCGCAGCGUCGCUAGAUCUAAAAUAGACAAAAAAGAACCGGUAUGGUCCGGCCCACUCUCUAUCGCCCAGUCCAAACAUCCCUCGCGUCCGCCUCACUCGCCGCCGCCGCCCUACGCAUCGCGGCAUCAACGCCGGACUCCUCAUCCCGCAUCCGUCGACACCACUUCAAACGCCGCCGCCCAAGCCUCGUCCCCGUGCCUUGCCCCAAGCAUCUCUUUGUCGUCCGCCGCGGUGCGCCAGCCUUCCGCCCACGCUCCGCCGCCGCGCGUCGGUCUUCUAACGCCCUGCGCCCGUCUGCUAUCGUCGCGUCGGCCAACCCUCCCCGCGAAACACACCGCCGCGCCGUCACGCCCAGGUUGAGGAAGCGGACGCAAGUACGCAAGGGCUCGGUACGGCGUCAGCGUCGGCAGCUGGGAUUGGCGGAGGAGAGGGACGGGUCGGUGCCUCUCGUGCUUCCCGAAGAGCCGGAGGUGGUGGAGGCCGGGGUUCGCGAGGUUCGCUCCGUGCCCGCUCCCGCAUACCUUGGGUUGUCCCUGCACAACCGAUUCAGCGGGGCUAAGUACCGAACGACCUGAGGCUGCAGGACGCGUCGCCGCAGGCGAGAUCGAUAUGAUCCCAGCUAUAUGUCUACUCACUCCCCACAGGGUAACUGAUUACUCAUUAUCACUUUAAAUCUUUUAAAUCAAUCCAGCCGUGCCUUUUAAAGACGAGCUUUGUUUUUCGUUCUUCAAAUUGUAACUGCGGUAUAAAUUGGACUGCUGAGAUCCAGAUUCGAUCUUCUUCGUAAGAGGGCCAGUUAAACAAGUUCAGUUCAGAAAUUAACUUUUACAUAAAAAAUAUUAGUGCUGAGGGUACAGCUUGGAGGAAAAGAAAAUCGUGUUGUCGACACCGUGUUCAAGCAAGUUUGGAUCCCAAACUUGCUCAUGCAUGGUAAUGGUACAACAGAGAUGAUCUGUUUUUCUCUAGACAUAUAUGUUGUACAUUGGUUAGCAUAUAGCUGCUUGGGACAAUCAUAAUAUCGGUUUUCUUAAAAGAAUACUAUCUGAUGCUACAAUUGUCCCAAAGAGGAGUUGUUUGAUUUUAUUGUGGGCUGCCGGUCAAAUGUAUAUUGUCCAAGGAGGGUGGAGAUUUUCAUCCUCGGAAAGGUAGGAGUAGGGAGGUUGGUUUUACAUUCUAUCCUUCCCGGUUAAGCAGAGACUAUCGAUCCAGUUUCUUUCUCCAGUUGUGCUUUCUCUUGAUAGUGACACAGUGCAGCUGCUGGAUUCGUUUUGCUUAUUCUUUAUCAAGUUUUGUUGUAAACUUCUCAGUGCUACACUCUGCCAGGAGUAACAGUCCACUUAUAAUGGUUUUGUGAGAAAUAGAUUGAUGUUCUCAUGCAUCUCUAAUAGAGUGCUCCUGAGUCCAAAAGUGUAUGUUCUGUCCUUUCAUAGUCUGCAGUGCUCAUACUCCUAUUAGUUAGCGGAACUAUCGUCAGCUGUUAACAUAAUUAUCAACAUACUUUGUUGGUCUUUCAUUGUUCUUUUUCAGAUUACAGUAGGGUUGAUCUGUGAAUGUGUAACAAUAUCCCUUUCAUUUGUGUUGCUACAUGGUUGUUAGCAUUCUUGCAGUAAAAACUUCUUUUGCUAGCAUUCUUGCAGUAAAAACUGGAAAACAAGAAAUUCUCGGGUGAAUGCUUGUUGAAGCACAUGGCAAGUGAAGUCUUCACUGCUGCCUGCUGCGAAUGGUCAAAGCCUACCAUCAAAGCUAUAGCUGGAUGAUCCUCGGCGUUACCAUCCAACUCGGAACUUUUUUUUCUGCCUUAUUUGCAUUGCCUUAUAUGGUGUCGGCGAUCUUUUAUUGUUCUAGAUUACUCUUUUCUUUUUUAGUCUGUACUCAUACACACUACCUGGUUUCUCAAUUUCUUUAAUAUAAAUAGGAAGCCUCUGCAUGUAGCCACAUUCUUUCCCCAAAAGGAAUUUCUCAUGUUGCAA